ACGUCACCCACCUCACUUUGCCUCACCACGGAGGCGUCUUAUCAGCUCACGUGGUCGCAAGAAGGUUUCUUCAGGUCAGAACUUCAGACACAGCAUAGUGGGAUGGAUUGUCUCUGUCCUAUGAUGACUGUGUUACUUAGCUGGAAGACUUCACAGCUGGGGACUGGAAUCUCUGAAGACUCAUCCACCCGUAUGUUUGGUUGUUGAUGUUGGCUGUCAGAACCCAGAUGCCAUGCUGUGAGAAACUCAGGCUCCACGGAGAAGAAACGUGGAUAAGAAGUGAGGCACUCUGCUUACAGUCCCACCCGAGCGUCCAGCUGA